ncrna:unclassified sequences L31-Actinobacteria ribosomal protein leader
UCGGUUCCGGUUCACGUCCUCAUCUCUGUGGGCGACCCGGCGACC